AGGUGGUGCAUGGGUUGUCGUCAGCUCGUGUCGUGAGAUGUUGGGUUAAGUCCCGCAACGAGCGCAACCCUCGCCUCUAGUUGCCAGCAUUCGGUUGGGCACUCUAGAGGGACUGCCGGCGACAAGUCGGAGGAAGGUGGGAGUGACGUCAAAUCAUCAUGCCCCUUAUGACCUGGGCUACACACGUGCUACAAUGGGCGGUACAAAGGGCUGCGAACCCGCGAGGGGGAGCGAAUCCCAAAAAAGCCGCUCUCAGUUCGGAUUGCAGGCUGCAACUCGCCUGCAUGAAGCCGGAAUCGCUAGUAAUCGCGGAUCAGCAUGCCGCGGUGAAUACGUUCCCGGGCCUU
rnacentral:rRNA from 1 species